ensembl:ncRNA lncRNA:CR43644 long non-coding RNA:CR43644
AGUCGACAGUCGGCUUUCGGAUUGGAUCUCAUUCUCGGCGACUGCGCGUGUCUCUCAGGCCGCUCCACCCCGCCCUCCAUCCCCCCUCAUCCAUGUCAUACUUAUUGUCAAUGAUGACAGUGCUCGGCUCCCAUUCGCUGUCGAAGUCCGCUGCUCCGUACCGCUCACACCAACAAUGAGAAUGAGACACGAGGGAGCCUACGAGGCAGUAGCCUAUGUGAUUGUGGGUCCCAUGGCUCAGUGGAUGGGGAUGGGUGUUUGUGUGUGUGUGCGGUGUGCCUACUUUACGAGACCGUGGGAAACAGAUUUGUCGUGUGUUUCCCACACGUUGGACGGAUGGCUGGAUUGUGAUGCGAUCCGAUGGAUUGCUGAAAUGUUGUUGCUGUUGCUGCUGGUUGAUUUCAAGCGGGUUGACUGUCAGCCGCCAAUGGGGGGCAGUGGGCGAACUGGUGAGGGAUGGCUGGGUGGAGGGGCAGCCUUAACUCGCGCAAUUAUGUCGCAUGCUUGGCUGAUGAUGAUGACUGCGACAACUGCACGUGGACAAAAUGUGCGGUCUUUUUGGGAGUUUAAAGUAGAUUUGAAACAAUUUCAAUAACAG